rnacentral:pre_miRNA from 1 species
AUAGGUGAGCAAUAUAGCCGCAGAACUGUUCGGGCAUGCCCCUCAACCUCAGCAAUUCGACAAGUGCCUCGUGAGACACAGUGUCGAAUGCCUUGGCGAAGUCUAGCACCGCCACGUGACAUUCCCGCAGCUUCUUCCUGCUAUCCCCA